UGUAUGGAAGGACUGUAAGGUGUACAUGUCCAACUGGCAGGUGUCAUCUGACCUUGACCUCAUUUUCAUGGUUCAGUGGUUAUAGUUAAAUUUUUGUGUUAUGGUCUAUUUUUCUCAUACUAUAUGCAGUAGGUCUACUAUAUUUGUUGUAUGGAAUGAUGGUAAGGUGUACAUGUCUAGCGGGUAGAUGUCAUGUGACCUUGACCUCAUUUUCAUGGUUCAGUGGUCAAAGUUAAGUUUUUGAGUUUCAGUCUUUUUAUCUAAUACUGUAUGCCAUAGGUCAACUAUAUUUGGUGUAUGUAAAUAUUUUAUGAUCUUUAUGUCAGUUGCGC
rnacentral:lncRNA from 1 species